rnacentral:rRNA from 1 species
CAAUAGCGUAUAUUAAAGUUGUUGCAGUUAAAAGCUCGUAGUUGAAUUUCUGUACAGUCCCGGUUCUGGCUUCGGUCAAGCCGUGGAUUGUGCAUCCGCUUGCAAAUCUAGCUCGGCCUUCACUGGUCGACUAGGGGAGUAAGCCCUUUACUUUGAAAAAUUAGAGUGUUUCAGGCAGGCAAUGGCUCGAAUACAUUAGCAUGGAAUAAUGGAAUAGGACUUUUGUCCAUUUGGUUGGUUAUUGGACAUGAGUAAUGAUUAAAAGGGACAGUUGGGGGCAUUAGUAUUUAAUAGUCAGAGGUGAAAUUCUUGGAUUUAUUAAAGACUAACUUAUGCGAAAGCAUUUGCCAAGGAUGUUUUCAUUAAUCGAGAACGAAAGUUAGGGGAUCAAAGACGAUCAGAUACCAU